AAUGCGAGGUUGUAUUGACGAACUAGAUCGUUAUAACGACCAUAGAAUUUGCGAAAUGCUGACUUCAAUCGAGACUGUUGAAAUCCCUGUACCAUCAACUUGUUUGUCAGUAGCUUACCUCAAUUUAAAAACUGACUAUACCCAGAACAAUGUAAUGACAAUAUCAAACACACGUACAAUAUAAUGACAAGAUUGAACACACACGUACAAUGUAAUGACAAGAUUAAACACACACGUACACUGUAAUGACAAGAUUAAAUACACACGUACAAUGUAAUGACAAGAUUAAAUACACACGUACAAUGUAAUGACAAGAUUAAAUACACACGUACAAUGUAAUUACAAUAGAAAACACACACAUACAGUGUUUUGGUUGAUUCACUUUUGUUUAAUUGUCCAAAUAUGAGUGACAUUCAAUUUCAAAAUGACAUUUUUGAAUCACAAAAAUUAAUGAACUCCCCAAGCAAUCGUUAGACAAUAGGGUUAUCCCAUAAUAGGUGACAAAUUGUUUCUUCUCGUUUUUACAUGGAAGGUGAAUAUAUCGAACAGUGAUCAAUCUCAUAACAUAAAUCACACAAAUUUGAGUUCAAUUUGCUAGUUUUAAACAUACAAUCAUUUGUAUUCAGAAUAUACUGAUUAAUUCUUAAUCGAAACCAUUGUUGUUUAAUAUUUUGUGUGCUUGACAAACGGAUACCAUAUUUUAUUUUCCAUUACCUGUUUUUCUAUGAUGUUGAAAUAUUUGUCCCAUUUUGUCAACAACUGGCUUCACCAUUUGUUUAUUUAAAACGCUAUACAUGGGUUUAUGUCCGUGUUCUUUUUUUCAUAAUACAACCAUAAUACAAACAAUUUAAGGAAAUAUAUGGUUUGAAAAUUAGUUCCUGUCUAUAAAAAUUAAACUUCCUGGUAAUUGUCAAUAUGACUUGCCUAAUUCCUGUGUAAGUCAAGUGGUUAAUCUUAUUUUGAAUUGAUUUUGAAGUUUUGCAAGACAUCACGUAUUGCUAUUUGUAUAAAGGGUGAAGAUAAGGUACAUUAUUCAAUCUCAUAACUCCUAUAAGCAAUACAAAAUAAAUAGUUGAGCAAAUACGGGGUCCAAGAUAUAACCAGAGGUAGGAUCAGGUACCUAGGAGGAUUAAGUCUUCCCUGUCGGCCGACUUCUAAUAAAUGAUGGACACAUUUUAUACUUUUUCACACCAAGACUUAGAAAACACAAACUGUUUUCCAAUUGUAAGUAAAUAAUUGUACCGUUGUGGUUGGCAUGUGUAGUCUUGCCAAGUUUUAAUGACAAUUAUCUUAAAUUUCCUUGAAAACCACCAAUACAUUAGGUAUUUUGUAUGUUUUCCUUAAUCUGAUCUACGUAGUCUGAUCCUGUAUUCAACAACUACAACUAUAACAUUUUCAGCAUAAUCUUAGUACCAAUAGUAAUAAGGUAGCGACGGAUAGCAACCAUGUGAUCAGUAAAAAUUGUGUAUUUUCACGUGAAUUUAUUUUCCGGAAUUUCUUACUCCGUCAUAGAAUAGUCGAAAAACAAAAAGGGGUUCCAAAAGAGUGUUGUUGCUGUGACUAACUCGCCAAGAGAAAAUCAGCACAUACCACAUACAUGUAAGUAUACGUCAAUGUCUGCAAAAAUGGUAGAUCAAAUAUUUCAUCUGUAUGAAACAUUUUGCCAAACGAAAUGUGAAACUAACCAAGAACCCAUGUAUAUAGAUGUGCUAUGGAUUGAUGCAUCGUAAUGUCCGAGUGCUGCAUGCUGCGAGAUUAAAUACUGUUUAUACAGUCAUUGCGAGCUAAACAAAGUUUCUAGCAAGAAGAGGAAUUUGGUGGAUGCAUUAAACUUGGACAAUGAAAUCAUAGUUUCCUUUGAUGAGUGAGAAAAUUGCCAUCAAUUUGUAUUCAACUCACAUUUCCUCUGCUAUUCACAACGCGAUUUAUAAUAACAUCUGUAAGUUUAAACAUAUGGCAUACAGUAGAUGUAUUAUUUUGUAUGUAUAUAUGUAUUCCAUGUGUGCUUAAAAUGCAACUCCCACCUGUGCAUGUAAUUGUAAAUGGAUGUCAUGUAAAUGUAUACCACAUUUGUAAACAUGGACUCUCACAACUCUUUUAUUAAGAAAAUAUCGUUAUGAAAAUGACCGUUACGAAAAUAACAUACCUUGAACUACAUGUAUAAAAGUGACGAAAAACAAAUAUCUGUAUAGAUCUACUAUCUAGGGGUAUGGGGGAACCGGAUAGAAAAUGGAAGGGGGGCAUGUGUUGAAUUAUAAUUCCCUUGACUAUAGUAUACAUAUACUAUUACUUUGAAAUUUCAGUGACCUAAGAAAUAUAUCAAACCUGAGGUUUCAUGUUUCACACAAACAUGUAGGUUGGCAAAAACCUUUUUGAAAAUAAUGUAAAUUAAUCACAAGUCUGCACAUGCCCUCUCAUAGGCAAAUGUAUGCAUUGUAUGUAUAAGUAAGAUAUGUAUACUACCCGCAUGUCCUUCUCUUGACCCACAUAUUGUAAAUAAAACAGAUAUGAUGAGUCUAUGGCAGUUUAUGAAAACAUAUAUGUCAUCUCAUAUUGCAAUUUAAAAUUUUGAAACAUCAGUAUUUAAAUUUGCACUGAAUAUGUGUUGAGACACAAUCUUAAAAUUCACACUGUCUGACACAGUCUAAUUACUCAGUGGUAUAAUAUAGACCUAACUGUGCAAAUAUCAAUUAUGAUGAUCUGUUUUUUUAGGCAUAAGUCUGAAGACCAAGGGAUGUUAAAUAGGACCAGUGCCGAUUGAAGUGGGUUUCGAGUGAACGAGUUUAAUAGAAAGAGAGGUACUCCAUUUACAGUGAUGGUGACAUAUCCACUGGACCUCCCACAACUCCACAAAUUUAGAAAUGUUUGAUCAAGUUCCGAAGAUUAAAGAAUUACUGCAACAUUUGGGACUGGGAUGAAAAACAUUAAUUCACCUAUGAGCUCAGAGCAGUGGAUGUUGUACAACAUACUUUAAACUAAAUUGUGAAUUUUGUGGAAAACAAGUACAUUUACUCGUGUAUUACAUGUACAUGCCUUUUGAAAGACAAUACUAUUGCAUAGAUGUAAAGGAAAGGUCACUGCUGAUUAUUCUUUCUGAGAUAUAUUGGAAAAAACGUGCACAUGAUAUCUAUAAUACCAAUUUUAUAACUUCAAUCAAUGUGUUUGAAUUUUCCUUGUAAUUCAAAAUUUAGUUGAAAAAUAUAUCAUUGAUACAUUAAUGUACAUCAAUUUUUUUUUUUUUAGAAAAGUUUCAUAAUUGAACUAAUUCAUCCCCCUUCCCUUAUACACACAGUGAACAUAAACCUUCACCAGGGGAAAAUUACAGUUAGUUAAUGCAAUAUACAUGUACAUGCAUUCUCAGUUAUCCGAUAUAUUGUGAAACUACAAUUAGGAAGUUUAAACUUAAGAAAGAUAUACAUGUAUCUGUGAGGGCAAAAUGGCUCAGAUGGACUUUGCAAUUCAUGGGCAGUCCACGGGUCUCUUUCCAUUGAUAUUAAUUAUUUAUUAAAAUAAGGAAUGGUUAUUUAAACAUAUUUGGUGUAUUAUACUGUAUAGUGAUAUCAAUUUCUAUAAAAAAAAAUGUGUAUAGGUAAUACAUUGGGUCCAGUUAUUACAAGAAAUUGUAUGAAAAAUAACUAAAUAUUUAGGCAAUCAUUAUGAGUGCAAAAAGGUCAACUGCAAUAGCACACACUAUAGAUAAUUCUCAAAUGGCUCAUAAAAACUUCUAGUAUUGUGAUGUUGAAUGCUCAAAGUGGUAUUUUGGGAAUGCUUAAUCUUUUAAGGUCAAUAGUUUAUCUCUGCUGACUGUAUCUCUUAAAAUUCAUUUCUGGAAGGGAGGGGGUAGGGUUACAAAAUCUGACAUAGUUUCAGAUUAAACCUCAUUUGGUAUAUUUUUGUUCUAUCCAAUAUUUUAGAUACUACUUGACUUAUUGCAAAAAUGAAAUAAAAUCAGAAAUUUUA